GCAGACACAUUCCAGCCAAUCAGCAGCAGACCCUCCCUCCCAGGCCCUUCCACCUCCUGGACAGCUCACUAAGAAUGCAGCUUCACAAUGAAUGUAAAAUGGAUGCUGUCCAGGAGGUGGGAGGGUCUGGGAGGGAGGGUCUGCUGCUGAUUGGCUGGAAUGUGUCUG